rnacentral:rRNA from 1 species
GGAUGGAUGAGUAAUGCAUAGAUAACGUGCCCCAAACACUGGAAUAGCUGCGUCCCGCAAGGGACUUUAGCGAAAGUGCAGGUAAUGCCGGAUAAUGUCAGAGAGUCGUAUGGCUUUCUGACCAAAGGGAUUUCGGUUCGGUUUGGGAGCGGUUUAUGUCGUAUCAGCUUGUUGGUGAGGUAACGGCUCACCAAGGCAGCGACGCGUAGCGGGACUGAGAGGUCGGCCCGCCAUAUCGGGACUGAGACACUGCCCGGACCUCCACGGAGGGCUGCAGUAACGGAUAUUGCGCAAUGAGCGAAAGCCUGACGCAGCGACGCCGCGUGUGGGAUGAAGUCCCUCGGGAUGUAAACCACUGUCAGGGCUAAGAAAGGCCGUCGCAAGACGGUUUGAUCUAACCCAAAGGAAGGCACGGCUAACUUCGUGCCAGCAGCCGCGGUAAUACGAAGGUGCCGAGCGUUGUUCGGAAUCACUGGGCUUAAAGAGCACGUAGGCGGAUAGUUAAGUGUUUUGUGAAAUCCCUCGUCUCAACCGAGGAAUUGCAGGGCAUACUGGCUAUCUAGAGGCAAGUAGGGGUGCAUGGAACUCCAGGUGGAGCGGUGAAAUGCGUAGAUAUCUGGAGGAACGCCCGCGGUGAAAACGGUGCACUAGGCUUGUUCUGACGCUGAGGUGCGAAAGCGUGGGGAGCGGACGGGAUUAGAUACCCCGGUAGUCCACGCCGUAAACGAUGUCUACUAGGUCGCGGAGGUUCUGACGCCGUCGCGGCCGAAGCAAAAGUGCUUAGUAGACCGCCUGGGGAGUACGGUCGCAAGGCUAAAACUCAAAGGAAUUGACGGGGGCUCACACAAGCAGUGGAGCAUGUGGCUUAAUUCGAAGCAACGCGAAGAACCUUAUCCUGGGUUUGACAUGCUUGGAUGGCAACCGUGAAAGCGGACCUGGCUGCCUUCGGGUGAAACUUGCACAGGUGCUGCAUGGCUGUCGUCAGCUCGUGUCGUGAGAUGUCGGGUUAAGUCCCUUAACGAGCGAAACCCUUAUCGUUAGUUACCAGCGCGUAAUGGCGGGGACUCUAACGAGACUGCCGGUGUUAAACCGGAGGAAGGCGGGGAUGACGUCAAGUCCUCAUGGCCUUUAUGCCCAGGGCUGCACGCGUGCUACAAUGGUGGUGACAAACCGAUGCAAAGCCGCGAGGUAGGGCAAAUCGGAAAAACAUCACCCCAGUACGGAUUGCAGGCUGCAACUCGCCUGCAUGAAGUUGGAAUUGCUAGUAAUCGCAGAUCAGCUACGCUGCGGUGAAUGUGUUCCUGAGCCUUGUACACACCGCCCGUCAAGUCAUGGGAGCCGGGAGUACUUGAAGUCGGGUAGCUAACCCGCAAGGGAAGCGCCUGCCGAUGGUAAGCUCGGUGACUGGGGCUAAGUCGUAACAAGGUA